rnacentral:rRNA from 1 species
GACGAACGCUGGCGGCGUGCCUAACACAUGCAAGUCAACUUGACUGAAGGAGCAAUCUGACAGUAGAGUGGCGCAAGGGUGCGUAACGCGUAAGUAACUUGCCCCAAGGUAAGGAAUAACGUCGAGAAAUCGGCGCUAAUACCUCAUAAUGCAGCGGAUCCGCAUGGAUAUGUUGUUAAAGGUUUACCGCCUUGGGAUAGGCUUGCGUCUGAUUAGCUAGUUGGUGUGGUAAACGGCACACCAAGGCUACGAUCAGUAACUGGUCUGAGAGGAUGAUCGGUCACACUGGAACUGAGACACGGUCCAGACUCCUACGGGAGGCAGCAGUGAGGAAUAUUGGGCAAUGCUCGAAAGAGUGACCCAGCAACGCCGCGUGGAGGAUGAAGGUAUUCUAUAUCGUAAACUCCUGUGAGAGCGAGACGAAAGACAGAUUAUUAAUACUGAGUGACUGUAUGCUC